CUGCCCAAUGAUUACAGAAAGACGCGUUAUUACGAGGACUUAUGCUGGAACUCUGCUUUCUGACCUUUUCUUUUUUCCUCUCUUCCCCACCCUCUGCUCCACCUGCCUUCAUUCUUCUCUCCUCCCCCCCCCCCCCCCCCCCCCCCCCCCACCUUGGGUGUCCAGCGUCCUAUGAGCAAGAUUUGAGAUAUGAGGGCAA